GUGCCUUCAGAAGCAAACAAAAACAAUACAUAUGGCUACUGUAAAGACAAUUAUGACAUUCCCUUGAGAGGCUCAGGCCCGAACAUAGAUGCCGAAGAUAAGCCUCUUGCAGAACACAAUAUACAAAUUAUCCUUCACCUGUUACUCCCACAAGUAAUAUCGGCAACCAUAUCAUACCUCUGUCUGGAAAGCAGAUUCACACCAGGAUGAGGAAUCAGCCGGAAGAGUUGCAGCGGGCAGCCCCAGAGGGCGGAGAUCCUGACACAGGUGUAAACUAUAAACUGGAAAUGACUACAGAUGGAAGCAUUGGGCUACCUGGAAGAGGAGCCAACACCCUCAGAGCUGAGGCAACUCCAGCCUACACCUGUGCACCGAACUCAUCCUGAACUAAGCUCUGAAGAGAUGCAGUGCGAUGCAAGAUCCAAAGAGGAGCACCUACCUAAAAGAGGGACUGCCAGAGUAGUUUGCUGAUAUCAAAGUACCUCCGAGCCUUCCAGAAUAUAAGUGCUUCCUGGAGACAUUCAGAUCAUUGGCUUCUAGCAACAUCAGCAAUUCACCCCUGGCAAACCCAGUGAGUAACUAGAGAAAUACAGCAGACCUCGAAACACCAGAACCAAGUUUACGGCCUCUGUGGGAUUCCUGCACUGACUUUUCCCCUUUGACUGCGGCAAGUACUGAAUUGCUUAUAAACGCAUGUAAAUAUUA